rnacentral:tRNA from 1 species
AUGGACUAGAAAUCCAUUGGGGUCUCCCCGCACAGGUUCGAAUCCUGUUGACUGCG